GUGGAGGAGGUGGCUGGCCCCAGAACAGGCGUCUUUAUUGCCAAGUGAGAAAUGAGCAAAAACAAAACAACACUUCUCAGGCCUCUCCAGCUUAGCUAGAUCAAAUGGUUUUGAUGUGGGAGAGUGGUUUCCACUAUCGUCACCAAGAAUUUUCCUCCUACACUACCCCAGCUAGAAAGUUAUGUUGUCUCCUCAACACUCCCCAAGGUGAUCUAUGAAGCUAGUCAAGUCCCAGCACUUUAGGAGGCCGAGGUGGGUGGAUUACCUGAGGUCAGGAGUUCGAGACCAGGCCAACGUGGUGAAACCCCGUCUCUACUAAAAAUACAAAAAUUAGCUGGGUGUGGUGGUGCAUGCCUGUAGUCCCAGCUACUCGGGAGGCUGAGGCAGGAGAAACACUUGAACCUGGGAGGCAGAGGUUCACACCACUGCCUCUGGAGUGGAGACUCUUGGAUGGAGACCACGACUCUCUCUCAAAAAACAAAAACAAAAACAAACAAAAAAUACUCAAGUGUGGAGAACACUGACUCUGAACAGAGGACUCUGACAUUUCCUAAUGCAGCCUGAAAUUAAGGCCAAAGACAUUACCAGUCUGGAUGGAUAUAGGAAUCACACACCACUCUCCAGGUAAGUUGUAGAGAUUUGGUUGACUAUAGUGUUUUUGUAUAGACCAGAGAUACCCAAG
rnacentral:lncRNA from 10 species